UUUUUUUUUUUUUUUUUUGUCUUUUGUCUUUUUUUUUGUUGUUGUUGUUGUUGCUAGUUCUUGGGCCGCUCCCGCGGCAUCUGGAGUGGCCCUAGAAAAGGGAAAAAGACAAUAAAUAAAUAGAUAAAUAACUUCAGUGACUGAAAAAAAGAGUAGCUUAUCGUUUUAAGGAAAUGAAACAUCAUGGCUCCUAGCACAACACUAAAGUUAACAUGAGGAGUUUCCAUUGUGGUGCAGCGGAAACGAAUCCGACUAGUAUCCAUGAGGACAUGGGUUCUAUCCUUACCCUGCUCAGUGGGUUAAGGAUCUGGUAUUGCUGUGGCUGUGAUGUAGGCCAGCAGCUGCAUCUCCGAUUCAACCCCUAGCCUGAGAACUUCCAUAUGCAGCGUGGGUGCGCCCUAAAAAGCAACAAAAAAUAAAAUAAAAUUAACAUGAAAUUAAACUUUUAUUAACAAAGGUAUUAAUUACAGAUACCAUUACUUUUAGAAUUUAUGAGUAUGAAAGGUAGGAAAUGUUUCCAUAUUCAUGAAUGUAGCCCCACAGCAAUAUUUAUAAUGAAAUAAAAAACACUAUUUUUAGGAUAACCCAAUGAUCCUUUAAUCAUCACAAAAACUUUUGGAACCCCCAGUCUAAAAAAAAAUCCAAACUGAAGCAAAUGUAUAUGAUAGAUGUUAUAAAUGUUUUUGAAAAUGAAGUUAUGACUCAGAAGGGCAUGGAUUUCUCCUCUGAAAUGUUGCAAGCCUAAUGCGAAUGAUUUGUUUGGUCACUUCACAUCAGAAAUUUCCUAAUUUUCCACUGUGAAAAAGUUUUCAAUCUUUAAACAAGACUACUGCUAAUACAUCUUAAAAUUCCAAGACUAAAAGGAAUUUCUUCCAAAUUAAAUUUCUAGUUUAAAAAGAGAAGCAAGCUGUAGUCUCGCUUUAUACGUUUCCAUGUAUAAUGUCAAUAUACGUGGAAAAUGGGAUUUAAAAUCAACACCAUACAAAAUCAUGAAAUCCGAGACCCCAGAAAUGAAAAUAUUUACAUUCUUAUCUAUCCUUUAUUGAAAUUGACAAAGUUUUAAGUAAGAAUGUCAUAAUCUUUUAACAGAUCAUAAAACUGACAUGAUGGCAAAAAUCUUUUCAGUGGGAGUCAAUUUACUCUGCCACAGGAAGGCAAAAAUCACCACAUUAAAAUCACAUGCUAAUUGCCAAUCCUGGCUUUGCAGUCCCCAAAUCUUGAAAACGAAAUUAUUGCAGUUCACUCUGGGACUGUCUACAUGUACAUUUUUAGCAUCAAAUAACAUUUUUUAGAGAAGACAAAAUUUCAAUUUUACUAACAAAAGAGUGGUACAAUUUCAAAAGAUUGUACAACUUUCAAAAAGUAGAGUAAUGACCUGCCUACUCUUGUAUUUACAUUUUGAAAGUAAACAGUAUCAGAUGCUUCAGGGAAUAACAUCCUAUAUGAUCACUUGUCCAUUUAUUUUUACAUAGGAAAUCUUCAAAAAGCAGGUAGAGAUAAGAACUCGACUUGAAAUCUCAAACCAUUUAAUCCAAAAUUUCAAAUCAUUUAAUCUAAAAUUAAGAGUAGCCACAAAAAACCUAGGAGAGCAUUCAAGAAGCAAAGUUAGAAAUCACCCUCUCUGAAACUGGGCAACGUUAGUAAGAAAAAAGUUGGUAAUUAUUUUGUCAUCAAUUUGUUGAUCCCUUCCUUAUGGCCUGUCUCAGGGGGUUAAGGAUCUGGCAUUGCUGUGACACCAACCAUACUGGAGAAUCUGUGUACCCAUGUGUUUUCCCCACCAGAUUUAAGGUGAGGAGCUGUGUCUCAUUCAUUCAUGCCCACGUUCUUCACACCAAGUCCAGUGCAUUAUACACAGUAGAGAAAGAAAAAAGGUUGAAUAAUUUAAGGUAAUACAUGUAUUCCUAACUGGAGAUAAUCAGUUAUGCUCCAAUUCAUGUAAGGACAUUCAUAAUUUCAUUUUAGCUAAUAAGCAGUGAGUAAUUUGAUGGGUUUUUUUUAAUCCACAAAGCUAUGAAAUGGAUUUUAAGCUCUAAAUAACAUAGUUAUAUUUUAAACAUAUUUAAAAGAAAUACAUAGUGAAACAUUUAAAAAACACUCUCACAAAUAAAGUUGAAGGGAGUUCCCAUCAUGGCUCAGCGGAAACAAAUCUGACUAGCAUCCAUGAGGACGCAGUUUCCAUCCCUGGGCCUGCUCAGUGGGUUAAGAAUCUGGCGUUGCCAUGAGCCUUGGUUGUAGGUCGCAGAUUCAGCUCGGUUCUUGCUUUGCUGUGGCUGUGGUGUAGGCCAGCAGCUAUAGCUCUGAUUCAACCCCUAGCCUGGAAACCUCCAUAAGCUACAGGUGCAGCCCUAAAUAGACAAAAAAUAAAAAUAAUAAUAAAGUAGAAAAUGAUUGACUUCACUGUGUAUAAAAUGGAACCAGACGGUGUUGGUAUGGUGAAUGUAAAGUGACCAGGCACAGAUGUUGUAAAAUGACAUGACAGGAACCUUAUAGAGUGAAUUAAAAGAGACCCUGGAAUUCUGAUUGGAAAAGUCUGGCUGGCAAAUAGGAGGCUUAAUUAAUGUAAAGUACUGCCAUCUCCAUUCAGACAGGGUUUGAGAAGGUGGGGAGUUUCCCAUCCCUCGGGAACAAUGACUUCUACCCCAAUCUACAUGGUACGGCUGGAAACAGGUACAGAACUGAUUCAGCCCAGCGACUCACCCUCCACUGCCCAAAGGAAAUAACGUGAUACCAAGGAGAGAGGGCCCUCUCUGGACCCCCAACAAUCUCAGUUCCAUCAUCUCUAAAGCUCUAGUCCAUAGCAAAAGUAGGCAAAUUAGGAGUUCCCAUUGUGGCUCAGUGGUUAACAAACCCAAGGAGUAUCCAUGAGGACGACAGUUCGAUCCCUGGUGGGUUAAGGAUCUUGCAUUGCCACGAGCUGUGGUGUAGGUAACAGACGUAGCUCAGAUCCCACCUUGCUGCUGCUGUGGCUGUGGCUGUGGUGUAGGCCAGCAGCUACAGCUCCGAUUUGACCCCUAGCCUGGGAA
rnacentral:lncRNA from 1 species